CGUAGCCGUGCUCGGCGGCGUGGUCCAGCAUCUGGCGCAUGCUGAUCAGUGCCAUGAAGUCACCCUUUGUCGUUUGAGGCGGCGGGCUGCGCC
rnacentral:tRNA from 1 species